CUGAGCUACCAAAGAGCAACCUCUGAGCAAUAAAACAGUCCUCUGUAUUAUGCUAGCAUCAUCAUCGCUAAUGAUCACUGUUAUGAACCCCAAAAUGUGUUACUUUCAAUUUUCAGUGAAACUAUUGUGAGAGUCACAUUAACAACUCAUCUAAAGUGUUGACAUCUGUAAGAACAGCUACACCGCGUGAGUAAGUGCUGCAGUGCGGUACCUCUCUUAACUCUUGCAGAGCCAUGUUAGCUUUGAAGAUUUCCUACACUGGAUGAAAGUUCGUCUGAGGUCAAAACAACAGCGUAGACAGGUGUUGUUAUAUCAAUAUCAGCUCUUAAGGCAGCUAGGAGACUUUAAAACGGAUAAAGCCAGUCUUUCAAGACCUAUGACAAAUUCACAUUCUUGAAAGUGACGCUCUGCUCCUUGUGUCUGCAUAGGUUCUCACCAUGAACACCCAGACCACACAGUUCGUUCCCAGCCCCCACAUCAGAUCUAUCAUCUCACCCCCUCCCAUUCGAGAACAUGUGUUAAGCCCAUGUAUGGGAAUGUAAGGUGGGCUGUGGAGAAACUCUCCUGGGGUUUGUGGUGCGAUAGCACCUGUAAACUUCCAGUACUGUGUGGGUGUCAUAGCCAUCAGUCAGCUCACCUCUCAAUUACCAGAUACUGUUCCCCCCAGUGAGGGAUCUGUAGACGGUGCCACGCAGAGUGCCUCGCAAAUUCAAUCUCUGCCAUCUCCCUCUAAUUACACUGUGAUGAGGAGCAAAAUGGGAAUCUGCCAUGGAACACAUUCCAAUCCCAUGCACGGAUGAGGCUGCUAAGUAAUUGAGCUGAUACAGGUGCCAAAACAUUGACAAAAUGCCUUGGGUGUUUUGUCUGAAAAUCUUCUGCCCUUUGUAGAGAAGCUGGAGGCAAGGAUUGUGUGAAUGAGGUUGAUGAAAUGCUCACUCCACAGUGACAUGUUUAGAACAAAGAGUGAAGAAAAAAAAAAAUGUCUGCAACUACAGUCUAUCCACUAGUUUUAGAAAUAAAUAGCCAGCAAGUCAUUAUCA
ensembl:lncRNA